rnacentral:misc_RNA from 1 species
UUUCCGUAGGUGAACCUGCGGAAGGAUCAUUAUUGUAUAACCGAGGUGCGAGGGCUGUCGCUGACCCGAAAGGUCGUGCACGCCCGAGUGCCCUCACACACAUCCAUCUCACCCCUAUGUGCACCACCGCGUGGGUCCCCCUUUGGCUUGUUCGGAGGGGGGCUUACGUUUUCACACAAACUUUGUAUGCAGUGUAGAAUGUAUUUUUUGUUUUUGCGAUCACGCAAUCAAUACAACUUUCAACAACGGAUCUCUUGGCUCUCGCAUCGAAGAAGAACGCAGC